UACAGAGGUCCCAAGCGUUGUUCGGAUUCACUGGGCGUAAAGGGUGCGUAGGUGGUGAGGUAAGUCGGAUGUGAAAUCUCGGAGCUUAACUCCGAACUGCAUUCGAUACUGCCGUGCUUGAGGACUGGAGAGGAGACUGGAAUUUACGGUGUAGCGGUGAAAUGCGUAGAUAUCGUAAGGAAGACCAGUGGCGAAGGCGGGUCUCUGGACAGUUCCUGACGCUGAGGCACGAAGGUCAGGGAGCAAACGGG
rnacentral:rRNA from 1 species